GCCUUGGCGGCGGCUACCAUGCAGUCGAACGGUGACCCGAUGAUCUUGCUGCUUCUCUGACGAGUGGGGGACGGGUGAGUAAUGUCUGGGGCCCUGCCUGAUGGAGGGGGAUUGCUACUGGAGACGGUAUCUAAUACCCCACCUGGUCCCAAGAGCAAAGAGGGGGACCUUCGGGCCUCUUGCCAUAUGGAUGUGCCCACAUGGGAUUAUCUAGUAGGUGGGGUAACGGCUCACCUAUGCGACGAUCCCUAGCUGGUCUGAGAGGAUGACCCACCACGCUGCUGCUGAGACACCGUCCAUACUCCUACAGGAGGCAGUGGUGAGGAAUAUUGCAUGAUGGGCGCAAGCCUGAUGCAGCCCUGCCUGGAGUAUGACGACCGUCUUCGGGUUGUAACGUGCUUUCCGCGAGGAAGAAGGCGACUGGUCUAAUCAGCCUGUCCAUUGAGAUUACCCGCCGAAUAACUCCCGGCUAACUCCCUGCCAACUACCGAGGUAGUACGGAUGGUGCGGACGUUAUGCGGAAUUACUGGGCGUAAAGCGCUUGCCAGCCGUCUGUCGAGUCCGAUGUGAAAUCCCCGGACUCAACCUGGCAACUGCAUUCGAAACUGGCCAGCUAAAGUCUUGUAAAUUCCGGUAGAAUUCCUGGUGUGCCGGUGAAAUGCGAAGAGAUCUGGAGGAAUACCCGUGGCGAAGGCGGCCCCCUGAACCUGACUGACGCUCCGUGCGAAAGCGUGGGAGCGAUACCGAGUAUAUACCCUGGUAGUCCACGCCGUACUAGAUGUCUACUUGGAGCGUUGUGCCCUUGUGUCGUGGCUUCCGGAGCUAACGCCUUACGUCGACCGUACUGGCGAGUACGGUCACAAGGUAAGAACUCAAAUGAAUUGCCCGCGAGCCCGCACAGCAUGUGGAUCAUGUCGAUUUAAUCUCGAUAGCAACGUACAGAAGCCUUAGCCUACGUCAUUGACAUCUCCUAGAACAUACCAGAGGAUGUUCUUGCUGCACUUCGUGCAACUCUGACUACAUGUGCUGUCAUGCAUGUCGUCACCUCAUAGUGUUGAAUGAUUGCGCUUCAGUCCCGCAACGAGUUGCUAACCUAUUAUGCUUUGUGUCAAGCUCGGUGAGGACUCGUGAACUCACUGGCAGACUGCCAGUGGAUAAGAAUGGAGGGAAGGUGAGGUCAUGAAUCGUUCAGGUCUUCUUACG
rnacentral:rRNA from 1 species